AUUUUGUUUUGUUGCCUGCUGGUACAGCAAUGCAUUGCUCUCCUCAUUGCUUGAUCUCUGGCCAGUGAUGUCAUGUGCAACCAGUUGUCACGCCUGUUUACUGAGUUCUGUCAUAUUAUGGCUGGUGGUGUCAGGAUGGUCGUGGACAAACUAAGUCUUGUGUCCGGGUUCACAGCAGUGAUAUUAUUGGCUUACAAAGAGCAAGGCAGCAUGGCAAGUGACCUAGUUGCUGUUAGUGGAGCCCUGGCAUCUUUGUGUUCUGAAAUAGUUCAGUGGCCUAUAACUUUUCAUGUUGUCCAAGGAAGAGCUUGUGGUAUUGCUUUGAGCCAGGAAGCAAAUAUGCUCGUGUGUCAACUGGGCUGAGUGCAGGUAUCCAAUGAGGCCCCUUUGUCAUGGGACUUAAAUUGUCAUUUUUCAUCAAUAGGCUUCUUGUCAGAGAAGGGCCUUAUUUUCUUGGAAACCAUCAGAAACUUUUUUCCUUUCCCAUGCUGGCAUGCUCUUUGUGAACAGACUAGGUGCCUAGAGUGGGUGUGUUUCUCUGGAAUAGCAGUGGCUAUUAGACCAAGGGGUCUCUGUUCCCCUGAGGGCAUCUUGGGGAUUCAUGGAGGACAUCCUUAAGCAGUAUUGUUGGGGAUGGCAUGGGGAGAGGAAUUGCAGGGCCCAAGACCAGGGAGUUGGCAGAUUGUUGCUGUUUGUCCUGAUGGCCCCUUGAAUCUGAAGCAAUCCACAUGCCAACGCAUUCAUGUUUGGCUUCUGACAUACCAGAUUGAGGUGCAGCAAUUGAAUGGUAGAUGCAAGUAUGAGGGCAAUGCUCCUGGGGGCCUUGCCUCUUUGCCCCGUAUGCCUGUCUCUCUUCCUCAUGCUUGCAUGUAUUUCCUUGCCUCAAGCCAGAUUGAGUGGCCCAGGAUGGAAGACCAUUGGCAUCGGAGACCCAUCACAUAUUCCAUGACUCCCAGCCUGGAAAGUCGAGGCCUACGAGCCGCCACGGGCCACUGGACACGUGGCCCUUGGUGGUACAGGUGGAACACCAAUGGCUGUGCAUUUGGAGCGAAGGACAACAGUGGCAGAUUUAUGGACCAUCCAACAGUUUUCCUCUCCCAUAAUCAGUUUCCUCUGUGGCGGAAUUCCAGAUCCACAAGUGACUGGAAGUGA
rnacentral:lncRNA from 1 species